rnacentral:miRNA from 1 species
AGAGGGAAGAUGAGAAUGGAGGAAGGGAGGGAGGAGUAAUAAAAGUGAAAACCAAAACUAAAAACUGAAAUAUAUUUGAAAUGGUUUUCAUUAAGUUUUUGUUUUCACUUUUGUUAGUCCUUCUUCCUAUCCUCCCCUCAUCAUCAUCACU